CGGACGGGUGAGUAACGCGUGAGAAUUCGCCUUUAGGCGGGGAAUAACUAUAGGAAACCAUAGCUAAUGCCCCAUAUGCUCGCAAGAGUGAAAGGAGCAAUCCACCCAAAGAGAAGCUCGCGGCUGAUUAGCUAGUUGGUAAGGUAAUGGCUUACCAAGGCGACGAUCAGUAGCUGGUUUGAGAGAACGAUCAGCCACACUGGAACUGAGACACGGUCCAGACUCCUACGGGAGGCAGCAGUGGGGAAUUUUCCGCAAUGGGCGAAAGCCUGACGGAGCAAGACCGCGUGAGGGAGGAAGGCUCUUGGGUUGUAAACCUCUUUUCUCAGGGAAGAAAAAAAUGACGGUACCUGAGGAAUAAGCAUCGGCUAACUCCGUGCCAGCAGCCGCGGUAAUACGGAGGAUGCAAGCGUUAUCCGGAAUUAUUGGGCGUAAAGCGUCCGCAGGUGGCACAUCAAGUCUGCUGUCAAAGACCGGGGCUUAACCCUGGAAAGGCAGUGGAAACUGAAGUGCUAGAGUGCAGGAGGGGUAGAGGGAAUUCCCGGUGUAGUGGUGAAAUGCGUAGAUAUCGGGAAGAACAUCGGUGGCGAAGGCGCUCUACUGGACUGCAACUGACACUCACAGGACGAAAGCUAGGGGAGCGAAUGGGAUUAGAUACCCCAGUAGUC
rnacentral:rRNA from 1 species